rfam:Stegodyphus mimosarum contig24059, whole genome shotgun sequence.
GCCUUUGUGGUGUAACUGUUAGCACAUUCGGCGGGUAUUUAAGAGGUCCAGGUUCGAGUCCCGGCUAGGGCA